rnacentral:sRNA from 1 species
GCGCCCGGGCGCCCGCGGAGGCGGCGGCGGCGCCGGGACCCCCCCUCCCUCGGGGUUCCUGUGUGUCCAGGGGGCGAGCGAGGUCCCCUGAUUCCUGGUACGGGGCUCGGGCCUGGGGCGCGGCCGCACCCCUCACCCACGGCGGCGCGGGGGCCCAGCCGCUGGGAACGCCCUCCCGGGAUGAAGCGCUUCCCGGUGCGUUCAAGUUUCUGGACCCCACCAGGAAUUAAUGAGCUGGGAUAGUAAGAGCAGGUCACCGGGAGUCAGAUGACCCCGUAAGGUUGGUCUCAGGAUCCCGGCUGCCUUGGAUGGGUCUAGAACUUCACGAGGAAGCCUCCUAAGCUCGGUGUCUUCCCAGGGUUGCUUUGGUGCUGAGAUCGUGUCUUUGGAAGCACCCCGAAUCUCUGAAGUGUGUGGGAAGAGAAGGGAGCUCUCUGUGCAUUCCCUGGUCCAGUUAAUCUGGUCCAGUUCCAAUUCAGUUACUAUCAAGACAGAAGUGGACAGCUCCCAGGAGUCCCAGCAUGUACAAGUAGCCCUCUGGGUUCAAUCCCCAGCACCGAGGGAAAAGAAGAGAAAGAGAAAGGGACCAUGUGUAGCAUUAUCCUACCUCGAGAUCUACAGAUCAAUAGGAGAGAGCUGACAAUUUAGCAGUAAGCUCUUGUGGGCUGCACAGAGGGCUCAUCCAUUAAAGGCACUCGCUGCUCUUCCAGAGGACCUGAAUUCGAUUCCCAGCACGACGCACAUCUAGAAGCUUAUAACCACCUGUAACUUCAGCUCCAGGGAUCUAUCUGACUUCCCCGGUCUCUGAGGCCACCUCCACUCACAUGUACGCAUGACACAACACACACACACACACACACACACACACAGAUUAAACACACAGAUUAAAAUAAAUAUUGUUUAAAAGGAAA